CACGAAGGGGGCUAGCGUUGUUCGGAAUCACUGGGCGUAAAGGGCGCGUAGGCGGCUUUAUAAGUCGGGGGUGAAAGCCUGUGGCUCAACCACAGAAUUGCCUUCGAUACUGUAGAGCUUGAGACCGGAAGAGGUAAGUGGAACUGCGAGUGUAGAGGUGAAAUUCGUAGAUAUUCGCAAGAACACCAGUGGCGAAGGCGGCUUACUGGUCCGGUUCUGACGCUGAGGCGCGAAAGCGUGGGGAGCAAACAGG
rnacentral:rRNA from 1 species